rnacentral:rRNA from 1 species
UACGUAGGGGGGCGAGCGUUUAUCCGGAAUUACUGGGCGUAAAGCGCACGCAGGCGGUUCGCCAAGUUUGGAGUGACAGUUGUCGGCUCAACCGACAAAGGACUUCAAAAACUGGUGAACUUGAGGACGAGAGAGGAACAUGGAACUCCAGGUGUAGUAGUGAAAUGCGUAGAUAUCUGGAAGAACACCAAUGGCGAAGGCAAUGUUCUGGCUCGUUUCUGACGCUCAGGUGCGAAAGCCAGGGGAGCGAACGGG